UACGGAGGGUGCAAGCGUUAUCCGGAUUCACUGGGCGUAAAGCGCGCGUAGGCGGCCUUCUAAGUCGAACGUGAAAUCCCCGGGCUCAACCCGGGAACUGCGUCCGAUACUGGAAGGCUUGAAUCCGGGAGAGGGAUGCGGAAUUCCAGGUGUAGCGGUGAAAUGCGUAGAUAUCUGGAGGAACACCGGUGGCGAAGGCGGCAUCCUGGACCGGUAUUGACGCUGAGGCGCGAAAGCCAGGGGAGCAAACGGG
rnacentral:rRNA from 1 species